rnacentral:lncRNA from 1 species
AAGGAAUGAUUGCUGCUAGCAUUUAUUUUUCCACAAUUAUUUUCAGGGUUGUCCUUUCGAGGCAGACCAGAUCAAGGAGUGGUGCGUGCAGUACCUCAUCCCAGGAUAAAUCCAGGGAGGCUCUAUGACUCAGGAAUGACUCACUGCUCCUCCUCUGUUCCUUCCAGACUCUUGGGGGUGUGCUAAUUUAUUGUCAGUCUGUAUCUGCAGUCAAUUAUUCCCCCCAGCUCAGCUCUCCUGUCCAGAAGGAAUUCAGGCACAUUCUGCUCAUUGCUCACCUCUCCAGAGAGGCAAACAGCGUGCCUUGGUUCCCCUGUGCAGCACCACAAACAGCUUCACAAGCACGGAGCAGGGACCACUCCUGUGCCCAGGGCUGGGGAGAGCUGCGGCUGCUGCCAAGGAAAAGUCUUUGCAACUGCUGCCAACUAAUCAGCAGUCCAAGUUCCAUGGCUUGCUUUUGAGGAGGUCACGCUGCAGG